CCUACGUGAGGCAGCAGUAGGGAAUCUUCCACAAUGGACGAAAGUCUGAUGGAGCAACGCCGCGUGAGUGAAGAAGGGUUUCGGCUCGUAAAGCUCUGUUGGUAGUGAAGAAAGAUAGAGGUAGUAACUGGCCUUUAUUUGACGGUACUUACUUAGAAAGUCACGGCUAACUACGUGCCAGCAGCCGCGGUAAUACGUAGGUGGCAAGCGUUGUCCGGAUUUAUUGGGCGUAAAGCGAGUGCAGGCGGUUCAAUAAGUCUGAGGUGAAAGCCUUAGGCUCAACCGGAGAAUUGCAUCAGAAACUGUUGAAUUUGAGUGCAGAAGAGGAGAGUGGAACUCCAUGUGUAGCGGUGGAAUGCGUAGAUAUAGGGAAGAACACCAGUGGCGAAGGCGGCUCUCUGGGCUGCAACUGACGCUGAGGCUCGAAAGCAUGGGUAGCGAACAGGAUUAGAUACCCCAGUAGUC
rnacentral:rRNA from 1 species